UCAUUGCCUGGGUGGGCAGCCAGCGCACGCCCAGCAGCCCUACAUGGGAAGCUUUCUCGGUAGGUUUCCUCAUCCGAUGACAUAGCAACGAGGUUUCAGGGCGACGUGUACGCGCUCAACACGAGAACACUGCUCAUCAAGGGCUUUAGCUACGACGGCCAGCGCCGACGCGUUCUUCUGGGCGGGAUCACAAGGUUCGGUUCCUACAACGGAGGUUUCGUCGUUCCUGACGAGAGC